rnacentral:rRNA from 1 species
UCGCCUACGGGCGGCUGCAGUGGGGAAUCUUGCACAAUGGGGGAAACCCUGAUGCAGCGACGCCGCGUGAGCGAUGAAGCCCUUCGGGGUGUAAAGCUCUUUCGGCAGGGAAGAUGAUGACGGUACCUGCAGAAGCAGCUGCGGCUAACUACGUGCCAGCAGCCGCGGUAAUACGUAGGCAGCAAGCGUUGUUCGGAGUUACUGGGCGUAAAGGGUGUGUAGGCGGUUCCUUAAGUUUGUUGUGAAAUCUCCCGGCUCAACCGGGAGGGUGCGGCGAAUACUGAGGGGCUAGAGUGCGGGAGAGGAAAGUGGAAUUCCUGGUGUAGCGGUGAAAUGCGUAGAUAUCAGGAGGAACACCGGUGGUGUAGACGGCUUUCUGGACCGCAACUGACGCUGAGACACGAAAGCGUGGGUAGCAAACAGGAUUAGAUACCCUUGUAGUC